rnacentral:lncRNA from 1 species
CAGAAAACAAAAUCUUUAGAUGUAUAUACUGUAUUUAAAACAGAAUUCAUGUACAGCUACAAAAUGCAGGCAACUAGUAAACAUACUAAGAAUAAAUGUCUACUUGAUAAAGUUGUCAAAUUGUUGUAAUAAUUUUUAUGUUUGCAAAUGUAUAAUCUAGCAAAAAAUAAGAAUAGAAAAAGAUAAAUAAUUUAAAAUGUCCAGAUCAGGAACUGAUUUCGAGAAAUAAUUUCACCUUUCACCGAUAAGCGUGGAGAUAACGGUAUUGCUCUCCACUUUUUUAUCGUUAAAAAAAUGGGGAAAAAAUUAAUUACAUUCUAUUUUUAUCAGAAUCGAUACACAUAUAUUGUAAUAUUUGUUUAUACAUACCUGUGAAUUGCUUAUAUUAAUCAUAAAUCAUUAUUAAAACUGGUAUUUCCAAACCAGGAAGAGAUAUCAAUUCAAUAAUAGGAAACCGAUAACGGCAAGUGUGAAUUAUUUCCGGAAACUUUUUAUUUCUAAACAGACUAGAUAUACAUAUUGAUAAAUUAGAAUUUCAUAUAUAAUUAUUUAUUUUACGGUUGAAAAUGAAUUAUAUACACUAUAGUCUAGAUAAAUUGUACUUUAUCAUUGUUACACAGAGAGAAAUGAUAUUAAAAUGCAGAUACUCUUCACUAGGAGGCUGGACUAGUGGAGUCAAUUGUUAACAGCAAGC